rnacentral:rRNA from 1 species
AUGCUAACCUCACUGAAGAAAUUGGAUGUAAGGAGUUCAGAUUGCCUGGUUGGACCAUUAGGAGGUGAGGGUGAUGCGGAAUGGCAGCACCCUAUGAUCCAGGAAUUACUUGUGGUCCAGGAAUCACUUGGUGGUCCUAGUGGGAAGGAACUAACGGAGCUUCUCGCUCACCUCCCAAGGCUCUCCAAGCUACUUAUUGCCAGUUGUGAAAAUAUAACACAGCUUUCAGUGAGGGUGGAUGUGCAGCAAACAACUUUAGCAGCCGCGUCGGAGGUGGAGCAGGAGAAGGAAGAAGAUGGGUUGCUGCUCUUCCCGGCCCAUCUCUGUGACUCACUCAGGGAAUUGGUCAUCAACAGAUGCCCAGAGCUGGUCAUGGUGGAAGUGGAACCCCCUUCAACUUGUCUUCCCACUGCAGGAGGAGGGUUCCAAGCCCUACAGUCCCUCUAG